UGGGGAAUAUUGGACAAUGGGCGCAAGCCUGAUCCAGCCAUGCCGCGUGAGUGAUAAAGGCCCUAGGGUUGUAAAGCUCUUUCACCGGUGAAGAUAAUGACGGUAACCGGAGAAGAAGCCCCGGCUAACUUCGUGCCAGCAGCAGCGGUAAUACGAAGGGGGCUAGCGUUGUUCGGAUUUACUGGGCGUAAAGCGCACGUAGGCGGACUUUUAAGUCAGGGGUGAAAUCCCGGGGCUCAACCCCGGAACUGUCUUUGAUACUGGAAGUCUUGAGUAUGGUAGAGGUGAGUGGAAUUCCGAGUGUAGAGGUGAAAUUCGUAGAUAUUCGGAGGAACACCAGUGGCGAAGGCGGCUCACUGGACCAUUACUGACGCUGAGGUGCGAAAGCGUGGGGAGCAAACAGG
rnacentral:rRNA from 1 species